CUGGUGAUGGUACCAAAGAAGGACAAAUCCUGGCGCUUGUGCGUCGAUUUUAAGGACCUUAACAAGGCCUUCCCGAAGGAUCCCUUCCCCCUCCCCCGCAUCGAUCAAAUCAUUAAUGCUACCGCAGGACACGAUUCAUUGUGUUUCCUCGACGCAUACUCCGGGUACCAUCAAAUUAAAAUGGCAGAGCCAGACCAAGCCGCAACGGCAUUCAUCACACCAUACGGCCCAUUCUGCUUCAACACAAUGCCCUUCGGGCUCAAAAACGCCGGCGCAACAUAUCAGCGCAUGAUUCAGACAUGUCUGGCAAACCAGAUCGGCAAAUCAGUGGAGGCAUACGUAGAUGAUGUGGUCGUUAAAACCAAG
rnacentral:rRNA from 1 species